AUUAUUGGAAAUGAAAUGUUAUUCGUUUAUAAAGAUAUCUAGUUUUUUUAGAAAUAAAUUUAAUUUAAAAUUUUUAAUUUUAUUAAUUAAUUAUAUAAAUUAAUAAAUUUAAAAAUUUAAAUAUUUUAAGGGAUAAGCUUUAAAAUAAAUUUUUAUAAAUAAAUAAAUAAUAAUUAAAAUUAUAUGCAUAGAAUUAGUAAUUAUUAAAAAUUUUGUUAUAAAUUAUUUUAUAAAAUAUAUUAUUUAUUUUAAUUUUAAAUUUUUAUAAAAAUAUUUUUUUGAAUUUUAUUUAAAAAGUAAUAAUGAUAAAAUUAGUAUAUUAUAUUAUGUAGAUAUAAUUUAUUUUGAUAAGUUUAUAUAAAGAACUCGGCAAAUAUUUUACUCGCCUGUUUAACAAAAACAUGUCUUUUUGUGUUAUUUUUAAAGUCUAACCUGCCCAAUGAAUAAAUUUUAAUGGCCGCAGUAUUUUGACUGUGCAAAGGUAGCAUAAUCAUUAGUCUUUUAAUUGAAGGCUUGAAUGAAUGGUUGGACGAAGUAUAAUCUGUUUCAUUUAAAUUUAUUAUAGAAUUUUAUAUUUUAGUUAAAAAGCUAAAAUAUUUUUAAAAGACGAGAAGACCCUAUAAAUCUUUAUAAUUUUAUUUUAUUUUUAUUUUUUAUAUUUAUUUUAUUUAAAUAAUUUAAAUUAUUUUGUUGGGGUGAUAUUAAAAUUUAAUAAACUUUUAAUUUAAUUUUUUCAUAAAUUUAUGUUUUAUUGAUCCAUUAAUAAUGAUUAAAAGAAUAAGUUACUUUAGGGAUAACAGCGUAAUUUUUUUGGAGAGUUCUUAUUGAUAAAAAAGUUUGCGACCUCGAUGUUGGAUUAAGAUAUAAUUUUAGGUGUA
rnacentral:rRNA from 1 species